rnacentral:lncRNA from 10 species
GCACUGGCAUGUGCAUUGGAAUACUCUUCAAUAAAAUUCAUCCUUGUGAAAGUAUACCAUAUGGUGUCAUCAGUAAAUUACUGUAAAAAGGAUAAUUGGAUUUUGAAACCAUAAUUCUCUGGACUAAAGACACUGGGUGCCAUGGAAAGGAAAGGAGACACCUGGAAAUGAGAAGACACUGACAUCUGAAGAUGCUUUCCGAUCUUCCAUGAAUAUGUGAAAUACAAAAUGUCAGUAGUCUCCAAAAUGUGAACGUAAUCUUAGUAGAAGUGGAUCAUCUACAGAAGAUGGACUCUUGCCCUAUCGCCCAGACUGGAGUGCAAUGGAGUGAUCUCGGCUCACUGCAGCGUCUACCUCCCCGGUUCCAGCGAUUCUCCUGCCUCACUCUCCUGAGUAGCUGGGAUUACAGGUGUAUACCACCAUGCCAGGCUAAUUUUUUGGAUCUUUAGGGGAGACAGGUUUCACCAUGGUGGCUAGGCUGGUCUGGAACUCCUGACCUCGUGGUCCACCCACCCUAUCCUCCCCAAGUGCUGAGAUGACAGGUGUGAGCCACCUUGCCCAGGCCAUCCAAUAGUUUUUUUCUUUUUUCUUUUUAGAUACACGGUUAGUUUUUCUUUCUUAUGUAAAAAUUGACCCCUCAUUUCCAUUGUGUAAAUCACUCAUAAAUAUCAUUUUCUGUGACUCAUCCUCCAGCAAAGAAAGAUACAUACAUAUCUGUGAAGCAAUGGUUUUUUACCUUUCCAGAGUCACAGACUGUUUUCAGAAAUUAAAGAUCUGCAUUUUUUAAAUUGAAAAUGCUUUAUGGCAGGCCAAUGUACAAACUCUCCAUAUUAAAAUCGCAAAGCAAUAGAUUUGCACAGAUGUUUGCACAUGUAUACACAAAAAAACAAAUAUUGCAAAAUCAAUCUUAAGUACUGAGUUACUUUUUUCCUUUUGGAAAGUUUUAAAUAUUCCAUCGUACUUUGAUAAUACAAAUGAUACGAAGUUCCAGGCCCCAAAGUAGAAAACUCUAAUGUAUAAUGAAUAUAAAUGAGUUCUUCAGAAAACCUGUUGAGUACAGGCAAUCAGCAUUCAUAAACUCAAUUUAGUUUGAAAUGUGUGUUACUUCAAUGCAAACUUAUUACAAUUUUAAAACAAAUUUUAGAUAUUAGUCCAAUCAUUCUUAUAAUACACCUUUAAUACUUAGAAAUAAUUUUGGUGAUUAUCAAUAAGUUAAUUUUCUGUUCAUAAAGGAAAUAAAUAAAAUUGGGA